GUGGGGAAUAUUGGACAAUGGGCGCAAGCCUGAUCCAGCCAUGCCGCGUGUGUGAAGAAGGCCUUUUGGUUGUAAAGCACUUUAAGCGAGGAGGAGGCUCCUUUAGUUAAUACCUAAAGAGAGUGGACGUUACUCGCAGAAUAAGCACCGGCUAACUCUGUGCCAGCAGCCGCGGUAAUACAGAGGGUGCGAGCGUUAAUCGGAUUUACUGGGCGUAAAGCGUGCGUAGGCGGCUUUUUAAGUCGGAUGUGAAAUCCCUGAGCUUAACUUAGGAAUUGCAUUCGAUACUGGAAAGCUAGAGUAUGGGAGAGGAUGGUAGAAUUCCAGGUGUAGCGGUGAAAUGCGUAGAGAUCUGGAGGAAUACCGAUGGCGAAGGCAGCCAUCUGGCCUAAUACUGACGCUGAGGUACGAAAGCAUGGGGAGCAAACAGGAUUAGAAACCCCGGUAGUCC
rnacentral:rRNA from 1 species